rnacentral:rRNA from 1 species
UAGGGAAUCUUCCACAAUGGGCGCAAGCCUGAUGGAGCAACACCGCCUGAGUGAAGAAGGGUUUCGGCUCGUAAAGCUCUGUUGUUAAAGAAGAACACGUAUGAGAGUAACUGUUCAUACGUUGACGGUAUUUAACCAGAAAGUCACGGCUAACUACGUGCCAG